rnacentral:rRNA from 1 species
GACGAACGCUGGCGGCGUGCCUAAUACAUGCAAGUUGAGCGAUGAAGAUUGGUGCUUGCCCCAAUUUGAAGAGCAGCGAACGGGUGAGUAACGCGUGGGGAAUCUGCCUUUGAGCGGGGGACAACAUUUGGAAACGAAUGCUAAUACCGCAUAACAACUUUAAACAUAAGUUUUAAGUUUGAAAGAUGCAAUUGCAUCACUCAAAGAUGAUCCCGCGUUGUAUUAGCUAGUUGGUGAGGUAAAGGCUCACCAAGGCGAUGAUACAUAGCCGACCUGAGAGGGUGAUCGGCCACAUUGGGACUGAGACACGGCCCAAACUCCUACGGGAGGCAGCAGUAGGGAAGCUUCGGCAAUGGACGAAAGUCUGACCGAGCAACGCCGCGUGAGUGAAGAAGGGUUUCGGAUCGUAAAAAUCUGUUGGUAGAGAAGAACGUUGGUGAGAGUGGAAAGCUCAUCAAGUGACGGUAACUACCCAGAAAGGGACGGCUAACUACGUG